GAUGAAGAACGCAGCGAAAUGCGAUAAGUAAUGUGAAUUGCAGAAUUCAGUGAAUCAUCGAAUCUUUGAACGCAUCUUGCGCUCCUUGGUAUUCUGAGGAGCAUGCCUGUUUGAGUGUCAUUAAAUUCUCAACUACACUGACUUUGAAUUGGUGUGGCUUGGAUUUGGGGGGAAAAUUGUUGUGGGCUUUUUGUAUAGUCUGCUCCCCUGAAAUUGAUUAGCGGUACCUUUGUGGAACUGUCUACAGGUGUGAUAAUUAUCUACAUCUUAGACAUCUGCUGGAAUGCUGCUUUCUAAACCUUACUUGUAUUGACAAUCUUGACCUCACAUCAGGUAGGACUACCCGCUGAACUUAAGCAUAUCAAUAAGCGGAGGA
rnacentral:misc_RNA from 1 species